rnacentral:sRNA from 1 species
AAACUCCACCCCUUCCCCCGGGGCUGGAGGCUGGCCUGGGGCUGGAGCCUAUUCUGACCCAUCCAGGGGCCCCCAAGGGUUUGUCCUGAUGAUAAACUGAACAAACAGGAUGAAGGCAGGAAGGAGAGAGUCCUGCAGGCUGCUUGGUGGUCCCCCAGCUGGGGCCAGGCAUGUGAGGUCUCUGCGGGUCAUGGAGAACCUCCCUGCCGUGACCACUGAGGAGCCGGCCCCCAUGGGGAGGGGUCCUGUGGGACCCUCA